rnacentral:lncRNA from 1 species
UGCAGUUUGAAAAUGCCGCGAUAUGAUGAUCGCUACGCUAAUACACGACUCUAUGUUGGUCACCUGGCUUCUCGAACACGAUCUCGUGAUCUUGAAUACCUGUUCAGCAAAUAUGGAAGGUAACUUUAGGCUUAUUGUUUAAAUUUUGGGAAAGUAUGAAAUUGUGAUCUCGGGAUGUCGAUCCAACUAGUAUUUGUUGAUUUGUGCCUGUUCCAUGGAAUAGGGCAAGUAUUUUAUUUAUUAACGGGUUGCAUAGGGUUGCAUAUCCUUUCCACGUGCUCCAUAGCUUUCCUCAAUCCGUUGAAUUAACCACCAACAUCAGUUGAAGUCUGUCUUUUCAUCCUUGCAGUGGGCACUGAUCAUUAUGUAUCUGCUCAUUUCUUUUAACUUAGUAAUUCGUUGAAUUAUCAAAUUUUUUGGCCUGGGGUGGUAUUUCACUUUAUAUGUAUAACAUAUUAUUCUGCAUAUCCUAAUUGCUUGCUGGAAUGGCAGCAAAUUGAAUAAAUUUUUAAGAAAAAUGGAAGUGCAUAUCAAUCCAUUUAAUCCCUUCUAGUUCAAAACAAUUAAUUAUUCCAUAGGAAGAGGAAUUAUUUUCGAGCCUAGGUAAGAAAUUUCCUUAGAGGAAUUAUUGAGCAUUUUAGAAAAAUGUCUGUAUGGACGAUAGAAGAUAUGGAUAUCAUACAUGUGAAUAUAUUUAUUUUAUUAUUUUUAAAAAUUAUAAUAUAAAAUGGUAAUAAAAAUUAUAAUGAUUGCAGAGCCCCAUUUUAGCAAUUACGACGUAAAACACAUGUCAUAUCAUAUAAUAAAAAAAGAUAUUAUAUAUAUAUAUAUAUAUAUUCUAAAAUAUGCUAUUGGACCAGCCUAACAAAAAAGUGGAUCUACAUAAUUCUAAAUUGUAAUGUAGUCCAUAUCUUAUUGGGCUAAAAGCUACAUUCAAAGUUGAGCCCAAUCAUCCACAGCAAAACGCGGCCGAAAGAAAAACCGAACUAGCGGUCGGCUCAUCAAUUUUCCUCGUGUAUUUCUAACCCUUGGAUUAUCAUAAACGUAUCGUAGCCGUCUGAACCUUUUAGGAGCGAUAUUAAAACCUGUCGGUUUGUUAGGGCCAAUAAAUCUGAAAAUCGCAAAUCUCACCUAACGUUUUUCGCAGAGAAGACCUUAGCCUCCGGAGGCCUUAAUCGUAUUUUGGGGCUUUCACGUUUCCAGGUAGCGACUUCGCAGAUUGCCUCUCCCUUUCCAAUAUUUUCGUUUAAUUAGCUCGUAUAGUUUUUGUUUCUUUGUUUCGAAUUUGAAUUUCUAGUUUUCUUCUUUUGUUAUGUCUUUUGGGAGCUGAUUCGAUUUUUCAUGAUUCUCUUUGAAUUGAUGCUUGAAAAGUCUGUUUCUUUGUCUUUUUUUUUUUUUCCAUAUUCGUUUCGUUCUUUAUAUCGGGGUUUUGAUGCAUAAUAGCUGCUGCUUUAAUAUUUUUACUGUUGAGGCCUUCAUAGAUAGAUCUGUUCUACUUCUUCGUGAUAACCCUUGAUGCGUAUUGGCAUAUAUGUUUUUUAUAUUUUUACCCACCAAUAUGUGUCUUCUGAGAACAGUGCCAAAAUUCAUUUACAUUCAAUUGGCUGGGAUAUAUUUUUUAAGUUUGGUUGGAGAUAUUAAUGUUUAUUUGUGUUCCACAUUUACUUAUUCAUGGGGAAGUCCAUGUUUAAAUUGCCUUUAGUUUCAAAUUUUUAACCAUACAGCCUUUGCUGGUUUUAAAAUUGAAGAAAACUGUAAACUUCACUUGCCCAUGUUAUCUGAAGUUGAUGGAAAUAUUUACUGGAUGCAGUUUGAAAAUGCCGCGAUAUGAUGAUCGCUACGCUAAUACACGACUCUAUGUUGGUCACCUGGCUUCUCGAACACGAUCUCGUGAUCUUGAAUACCUGUUCAGCAAAUAUGGAAGGUAACUUUAGGCUUAUUGUUUAAAUUUUGGGAAAGUAUGAAAUUGUGAUCUCGGGAUGUCGAUCCAACUAGUAUUUGUUGAUUUGUGCCUGUUCCAUGGAAUAGGGCAAGUAUUUUAUUUAUUAACGGGUUGCAUAGGGUUGCAUAUCCUUUCCACGUGCUCCAUAGCUUUCCUCAAUCCGUUGAAUUAACCACCAACAUCAGUUGAAGUCUGUCUUUUCAUCCUUGCAGUGGGCACUGAUCAUUAUGUAUCUGCUCAUUUCUUUUAACUUAGUAAUUCGUUGAAUUAUCAAAUAUUGGUCAUAGGUUGUGCAGUUUGCCUCCCUGCAAUACUUGGGGACAAAUAGGUCCUCAGAAGCUUGUUUUUUGCGUGGAUUUCUGUUAACUAUCACGUUAUCUGUGUGGGAAUCUUGUGGCCCUAGGUGUCAUGUUUUUUUUUUAACGUGAAUGAUCUUGUUGAAG